rnacentral:piRNA from 1 species
UAACGAAGUUACUUCCCACUU